rnacentral:tRNA from 1 species
GGCUCGGUAGCUCAGUUGGUAAAGCGCUUGCCUCGCGUAUAAGGAUCGUGAGUUCAAAUCUUGUCUGACCUA